AGGACGAACGCUGGCGGCGUGCUUAACACAUGCAAGUCGAGCGGAAAGGCCCUUCGGGGUACUCGAGCGGCGAACGGGUGAGUAACACGUGAGCAACCUGCCCCUAGCUCUGGGAUAGCUCCGGGAAACCGGGAUUAAUACCAGAUACGACCACUUUAGACAUCUGCUGUGGUGGAAAGGAUUCCGGCUAGGGAUGGGCUCGCGGCCUAUCAGCUUGUUGGUGGGGUGACGGCCUACCAAGGCGACGACGGGUA
rnacentral:rRNA from 1 species